AUAGUCAUGGCCGACGCGGGUCAAAGCGUAGUAUCGGUUCUUAUCAGCUCAAUAUCUGGUACGGGUUGUAUUUGGACCUAAGACAUUAAAUUUAAUUUUGAAAGUUGGCGGUGUGCUUAAGCCCUGCUUCACCUCCGCCGCAGGUCGGGCCUGGUAUUACACUAUUUUCGGGAUUGGCCCAGGUACG